GAUGAAGAACGUAGCGAAAUGCGAUAAGUAAUGUGAAUUGCAGAAUUCAGUGAAUCAUCGAAUCUUUGAACGCACAUUGCGCCCCUUGGUAUUCCGAGGGGCAUGCCUGUUCGAGCGUCAUUAUAACCCCUCAAGCUUAGCUUGGUGUUGGGGCCUGCUGUAAUAGAGCAGCCCUUAAAAUCAGUGGCGGUGCCAUUAGGCUCUAAGCGUAGUAAUUCUUCUCGCUAUAGGGUUCUGGUGGAUGCUUGCCAUUAACCUCUAAUUUUCUAUGGUUGACCUCGGAUCAGGUAGGGAUACCCGCUGAACUUAAGCAUAUCGAUAAGCGGAGGA
rnacentral:misc_RNA from 1 species